UUUGAGUUUUCCAGUCUGUAAUCAUGAUGC
rnacentral:piRNA from 1 species